CCCUUAGAUGUUCUGGGCCGCACGCGCGCUACACUGAUGCAUUCAACGAGCCUAUCCUUGACCGACAGGUCCGGGUAAUCUUUGAAUCUGCAUCGUGACGGGGAUAGAUUAUUGCAAUUAUUAAUCUUCAACGAGGAAUGCCUAGUAGGCGCAAGUCAUCAGCUUGCGUCGAUUACGUCCCUGCCCUUUGUACACACCGCCCGUCGCUCCUACCGAUUGGGUGUGCUGGUGAAAUGUUCGGAUCGGCCGUUUGUCGCGGUUUCCGCGUCAUGUGGCUGAGAAGUUCAUUAAACCUUCCCACCUAGAGGAAGGAGAAGUCGUAACA
rnacentral:rRNA from 1 species